GAGGGAAUGACCUGGAGAAGGAAAAUCUGUCUAAAAAGGAGCAGCCAGUAAGGGAGACCGUGAUGAUGACAUUUGGAAGCAUCUCAGGAGACAAGAAUAAAACGCCAUUUUUUUCCCACUUCGCUAACAACUCAGUGUUCUGAAAAGUCUGGAAUGUGCUAUGAAAAGUUUGUGUGCUUAGUGAAAUGUUGUACAAUUGGCCAAUCUGCUAAGUCUUGGGAAAUGUCUUAGGAGCUUGGCAAGAAGAAGUUCUCAAGAGAGCCUGAAUGCUGCCAGUUUCCAAUUGGCCAAGACACAUUACAAGGACAACUGUCUCUCUGAGCAACCUGGCAUUUCCACUCCAAUUGGAAUCUGCAAGGGGAAGAUGUGCAGGGGAAGAAGAUUAAACAAACCUUUUCAGAUUUCUGGUCCAG
rnacentral:lncRNA from 1 species